AGCAGAUGACUGUAGAGUUUAGUAGUUCGUGUCAUUCGUUUGUACGGUAUUGUGUUGCGUUUUCUGUGAUAUAUGUAAGUGAUUUGAUGGUGGAGACAGGAAAUCACGGAAAGACACAUAUUGAGUGUGUGGCUUAGGAGGGCAAUCAUGGACUGCAAGGGAACUAGUUGGGUGAAAAAAGAGAAGAAUGAAAUAUGUCCUGAACCAGAAUCCUUGUUUCUUGAAGAUCCGCUAAAGAUUGUAAUGCCUAGUCUCCAUAUAAAGCAAGACUUAGAACUGAAACAGGAGGAUGGCAUUGAGCGUGAUGAAUAUGCAGUUAAUCUCAUUCAAGAGGACAAAUAAACCAUACCACGUUUGAAGCUGCAAAAUAUGGUUAAAAUUAACUUGACCAGCCAGGCACUGAAAGCAGUAUACUCAUACAGUAAUUACAAAAUAAAGUUCGUGAAAGCCAGUGCUAGUAUUAAGUUCAUCAAAGAACAUCUAGCGUGUGACUUUCGUCCUAAUUAUGUCAAAGCGAAGAUCAAACAAGUCUGCUGCAGCCCAGAUUGCCAAGAGGAAAUGUGAGAUAAUGUAGAUGAAGUCUCAAGUAAAAUCUCAGUACAAAACGAAAGAAGAUAUUGUUAUAUGCUGUUUCAACACGUAUUUACAAUUAGCUAAUACACUACACCAUUAGAACUAAGAGCUGCU